rnacentral:rRNA from 2 species
GAUGAAUGCUGGCGGCGUGCCUAACACAUGCAAGUCGAGCGGCAGCGCGAGUAGUUUACUACUUGGCGGCGAGCGGCGGACGGCUGAGUAACGCGUGGGAACGUGCCCCAAAGUGAGGAAUAACUGCCCGAAAGGGUGGCUAAUGCCGCAUAUGAUCUUCGGAUUAAAGUCUUCGGACGCUUUGGGAGCGGCCCGCGUCGGAUUAGGUUGUUGGUGAGGUAAUGGCUCACCAAGCCGACGAUCCGUAGCUGGUCUGAGAGGAUGAUCAGCCAGACUGGGACUGAGACACGGCCCAGACUCCUACGGGAGGCAGCAGUGAGGAAUCUUCCACAAUGGGCGAAAGCCUGAUGGAGCAACGCCGCGUGCAGGAUGAAGGCCUUCGGGUUGUAAACUGCUUUUAUAAGUGAAGAAUAUGACGGUAACUUAUGAAUAAGCACCGGCUAACUACGUG